rnacentral:rRNA from 1 species
UACGGGGGGGGCAAGCGUUGUUCGGAAUUACUGGGCGUAAAGCGCACGUAGGUGGUCUGUUAUGUCAGAUGUGAAAGCCCUCGGCUUAACUGAGGAAGUGCACCUGAAACUGGCAGGCUUGAGUACGAAAGAGGGUCGCGGAAUUCCCGGUGUAGAGGUGAAAUUCGUAGAUAUCGGGAGGAACACCGGUGGCGAAGGCGGCGACCUGGUUCGAUACUGACACUGAGGUGCGAAAGCGUGGGGAGCAAACAGG